GUCCGGCAACGAGCGCAACCCUUAUCCUUAGUUGCCAGCACGUGAUGGUGGGAACUCUAAGGAGACUGCCGGUGAUAAACCGGAGGAAGGUGGGGAUGACGUCGAGUCAUCAUGGCCCUUAUGGGUAGGGCUACUCACGUGCUACAAUGGCCAGGUACAGAGGGCAGCAAACUCGCGAGAGUAAGCAAAUCCCACAAAGCUGGUCGUAGUCCGGAUUGGAGUCUGCAACUCGACUCCAUGAAGUUGGAAUCGCUAGUAAUCGUGAAUCAGAAUGUCACGGUGAAUACGUCCCGGGCCUUGUACACACCGGCCCGUCACACCAU
rnacentral:rRNA from 1 species